CAAUAGCGUAUAUUAAAGUUGUUGCAGUUAAAAAGCUCGUAGUCGGAUUUCGGGUCGGGCCGAGCGGUCUGCCGAUGGGUAUGCACUGUUUGGCGCGGCCUUCUUUCCGGAGACCGCGGCUACUCUUAACUGAGGCGGACGGGGGAAACGGGAUUUUUACUUUGAGGAAAUCAGAGUGUUCAAAGCAGGCUUUUGUAUGUAUGUGUUAGCAUGGGAUAAUAAAAUAGGACUUGGGUGCUAUUUUGUUGGUUUCGAACACCUAAGUAAUGAUUAAUAGGGAUAGUCAGGGGCACUCGUAUUCCACCGAGAGAGGUGAAAUUCUUAGACCAGUGGAAGACGAACUUCUGCGAAAGCAUUUGCCAGGGAUGUUUUCACUGAUCAAGAACGAAAAGUUAGGGGAUCGAAGACGAUCAGAUACC
rnacentral:rRNA from 1 species